AGGAGUGUAGCUCAGUUGGUAGAGCACCGGUCUCCAAAACCGGUUGUCGGGGGUUCGAAUCCCUCCACUCCUGCCA
rnacentral:tRNA from 1 species